rnacentral:rRNA from 1 species
UCCUACGGGGCGCAGCAGUGGGGAAUAUUGCACAAUGGGGGAAACCCUGAUGCAGCGACGCCGCGUGAGCGAAGAAGUAUUUCGGUAUGUAAAGCUCUAUCAGCAGGGAAGAAAAAUGACGGUACCUGAGUAAGAAGCACCGGCUAAAUACGUGCCAGCAGCCGCGGUAAUACGUAUGGUGCAAGCGUUAUCCGGAUUUACUGGGUGUAAAGGGAGCGCAGGCGGUGCGGCAAGUCUGAAGUGAAAGCCCCGGGCUCAACCUGGGAAUUGCUUUGGAAACUGUUAAACUAGAGUGCUGGAGAGGG